AUAGAUUAUAAUACUUUUUUUUUCAUUUCCCUCACAUUUUUUUAGCAUUUCCUCCCAAAAUUUUACUUUUUUUCACUCCAAAUUUUAGAUUUUUCUUUUCUAGAAAUAGAACACAACAAACCCAAAAGAAAGAAACCCUUCGUGCCUCAGCUUCUUCCCUGACCUUUCACUGUCUCAAUUUUCUCUUCACCCUUGAUUGACCACCUCAAUACGGUGGAGACGCCCGUCACCGUGGAGGACUGGCCACCGUGGCCCACGAAUUGGGGGGCUGAAGAAGCAGCACAACGUGGAGUACUGGAUGAUGGGGUCGCUUCUCCACGACGUCGAGGGCAGAGAAGUGGUUAGGGUUUCGGAUCCACAACUCGCCAAUGCCUUCUUCGUUCCGUUCUUCUCUGCGCUCAGUUUCAACACGCACGGCCACAACAUGUAGGAUCCCGCCACGGACACGGAUCGUCAAUUGCAGAAAGCUGACUACGAUGUUGAGGUCAGCGGGGUUGAGAUAUCUCCUGAUCCUAUUGAAGAGGCCAGCCUGCUACAUUCAACAUUGUUGCAACUACAAGUUGAGUCCGUGUAGUUUUGAUAUGUCAUUGGUGACUAUGUGAAGUAAUACUAGUAUUGGUGAUAAGCUUUGUAAAAGGCUAUGUAAAGGAAAAAGGGUCGUGUGCUUAUAAAUAUGAUGUAGCUGAAAGAUGUGGAGCAUUGGUUUAUCUUAACAAAUUCACUGAAAGAUGUGGAGCAUAUGUUGUUGUCAAGCAAGAGAUGAUGCAACCUAGUGCCAACAUCAAAGACAGGUAAAUUCCUUUCUAUAUAUUUAUCUUGUUUUUUCUAGUUUGCAUAUUGUCAUAAAUUUUUGUAUGAAGAAUCUCAACUUUGUAGGUUCGGAAAUGGAUGAUGAAUCCAUUGUUCAUCUUGUUUAUCAUGCUUACAAUCUCACAAAACUUUGUAUGUAUAUCAUCAACCAAAGAUUAGAAGCAAUGGAAGCAGGAGAGUCUACGAACAAUGACUUGUUGGACAUACAUUGUUGAAUUUUAAAAAAGUAGUGAUGGAGGAAUGAGUUUAAGGGAAGUAGUUGAUGAAGUGAAGCUCUUUUAUUUUGCAGCAUAGGAAGCAAAUGCAGAGUGUCUCAUGUCAAACUUUUAUCUGAGUUAGGGAUUUUGUUUAGGUUAUCAACAUUAGUCUAUAUGUUUUUAAUUGGUCUUGUAGUUUUCGACCAGGUCAAUCUUGUAAUGUUAUCUAAACAUUAUGUACUUUUUUAUAUUUACAUUGUAAUUGUCAACAAAUGUACUUAUAUUAUUUUAAAUCAUUAAUAAAAUUAAUUUGAAUUAUUUUUGUAUA